rnacentral:rRNA from 1 species
AACGAACGCUGGCGGCAGGCGUAACACAUGCAAGUCGAACGAGAUCUUCGGAUCUAGUGGCAGACGGGAGAGGAACACGUGGGAACAUCCCUUUCAGUUCGGAAUAACGUUGGGAAACUAACGCUAAUACCGGAUACGUCCUUCGGGAGAAAGAUUUAUCGCUGAAAGAUUGGCCCGCGUCUGAUUAGCUAGUUGGUGAGGUAAUGGCUCACCAAGGCUACGAUCAGUAGCUGAUCUGAGAGGAUGAUCAGCCACAUUGGGACUGAGACACGGCCCAAACUCCUACGGGAGGCAGCAGUGGGGAAUAUUGGACAAUGGGCGCAAGCCUGAUCCAGCCAUGCCGCGUGAGUGAUGAAGGCCUUCGGGUUGUAAAGCUCUUUUAUCCGGGAAGAUAACGACUGUACCGGAAGAAUAAGCCCCGGCAAACUUCGUGCCAGCCGCCGCAGUAA